UCCUUGUGCUCCCAUCUGAGCAUUACCCAUGUCCCUGUUUGUAUUGGGCGAGUCAAUUGCACAUCCUCUCCUGCCAUGCUGGAUGCCGUGGUUUCUGUGCACAAAUACUUUCAGUUUUUCCCCACUGCAAACCAUCCCAGCAAGGCACUGAGACACCUAAUCACAGCCAAGCUCAGAUCUCCCAGUCAGGUUGCUUUUUCUGAGUAUUUUCAAAUAUGAGGAAAGACCCUCACAAUUUUUAAUUAAAAAGUGAGGCCCAAGGGAGCACAUGUCCUCAAAAGUUUUACUAAUCCCUCUCAUGCACACUUGCCAUGCAUCAGACACAUCUGUCCUGCAGCUGGUAGGGACAGAUGCCUUGGUUCUUUGUCAUUCAGAUCACAUUUUGACUUUUCUCAUCUAUUUAUUUCUUUAUGCAUCCAGACUUCAUCACAUGAAGCCUAUUAGGGUUAAGUUUGUAAGUGUUUAAUUGUGCAAGUUGACACCUUGCGUACUUUCCAUGGCUGUCUGCAUGUUUUCCGUCAGAGAAUUCAAAGCUGACUUCCAGGCGUUUAAACACUGUUCACUAAAAAAUGCCAGACAAAGGGAAGAGGGAACACAUUGGUUAGACUUAGGUGCUAGUCCACCCAGCAGGCCCUUGGAAUAGAACAUUAAAAUCAUUACAAAAUAUGAAUUGUAAAUGGAUGGGAUUUUAAAUGGUCCUAUUUGGAUAGAAAUCUUUUUGCUAGCCCUAUUUGUGUGAAAUCAGGUAGCCAGAAGAAAUUCCAUUGCCUGUUUUCAUGAAAUUGAGUUGUCUUUUGUGAAUAAAUACGUUACCUUUCCCAGAUUAUUCUCUCACCACACACUUCCUUCAUCACUGCUAGAACAGCUCAUCCAUAUCAUUUUCAAAGGGUCCACUCUCCAAACCCAGAACCUCUGCGUCUCCAAGCCAAGCCUGCCAAAUUUGUUUCAGAACAAGCUUACACAACUCAUGACAACUGCACUCCCACUGUAGGCUCCCGUGUGUACUGUUGUCUUAUGUUGGGAAAGAGUUGGAGUAAUGAGGUGGUGUCUGCCCAUGAGCCUUCUUCCAUAUAUCAUAUGAAACAUGGCCUCCUGUCCAAUCAACGUCAUUACCAACUUGGAUGUGCAAUGAGGCUUUGUGCUAUGUGGAGGUUGGGAGGUGGGGAAUGAAUUUUUUGGCUGGAGACAGUAUCUAGUGAUGGCCAAAGAGUGUAGAACAAUGGAAGAGGCUGAAAGUACUAUUCUCCUGUUCUGUGACUUGUGAGCCUAUCUAAAUUAAAGCCUCAUAAUUUGAGAAUCACAAAGGAUUGUCCCUAACCCUUGGCACUGGGGUCUUUCAAGUGAGCUGGUUUAAUACUCCCAGAAUGAGCAGAGAGGUCCAGAAUGGCUCCCUGUGCCAUUAUGAAUACCUUUAUCACCACCAUCUGACCACAUCACCCAAACUGUCUUCCAAGCAUGAGACAAAGCGGACUUUUCACACUGAUUGCCCAGCACAAACUUUCUUUCCCAGUUUCUCCUUCUUCCCCAGUGUCUUCUCCAUCCAUUCUGUUCUCCCUCAGAGUAUGAAUCUGUGACAGAGGUUACUGGGGAAACAGCUCAGCAGAUUUUAGAGACCAAGCAAAAAGCCUCACUGGAAAAUUAAUCUGUUUGAAAACAUUGCUUCCUUCCUGGCUCUGCUAAACUGAAUGUUCAUUGUCUUUUUCACUUCUAAUGUUCAAAUCACUGCGUGCUGUAUGACUCUAGAAAGCCUUAAUUUACUACCACUGAGAAAUAAAGCAAUAUGUUGGUAAGCA